rnacentral:rRNA from 1 species
CGGACGGGUGAGUAAUGUCUGGGAAACUGCCCGAUGGAGGGGGGUAACUACUGGAAACGGUAGCUAAUACCGCAUAACGUCGCAAGACCAAAGAGGGGGACCUUCGGGCCUCUUGCCAUCGGAUGUGCCCAGAUGGGAUUAGCUAGUAGGUGGGGUAACGGCUCACCUAGGCGACGAUCCCUAGCUGGUCUGAGAGGAUGACCAGCCACACUGGGACUGAGACACGGCCCAG